UUUUAACAACUCAUCUAUGCACCAUAACUAUAAAAACAAAUAUUAACUUGAACUUAUGUGUAAAAAUGAGUUUUAGUUAUAAAAUAAAUCUCAAAAACAUAUGCAAAAAAAACAAUCAUAAUACUAUAAUAAAAUAAUUUUUAUUUUAUAGUUUUUAUUAAAAUAAAACAUCAAACAAAACCCGUUGCGUUGCAACGGGCUCAUAUCUUGUGUUUACAUAAAUGUUUGUUUAUUAUUUAUGGAAAAAUAAUAUUAUUCACCUAAAUAAUGAAUUACGAAACAUAUACAAUACAAUUCUAAUUAAUGAUAAUAUAAAAUUUGUUACUUCUAAAACUAUACACUAUUUAUUCUAUUUUUUGAAUGAAAGUAUCUUCGUAAACACACAAAAUAUUUUGUGACGUUGCAAUUAUACGUACACACAAUAUAUGCUUCUUCAUACUGACGUUACUGUGUUCCCUCUCGUGAAGUACGGACCGAGAGAGAACACAGGAUGCGGACCGAUCAUGUUCUUAUGACCGGUCACCUAGUUAGAAUUAUAUUUGCUGCUUAAAAUGUUGUACAAUUAAUCAUGUCUGUAUAUAGUAAUGAAAAAUUGCCGACUUGGGAUAACAAGUCAAGCCCUGGGAAAAGAGACGAGAACUCUUGACUGAUCAUGCAAGGACAAUUGAUCUUCAGAAUGGAGAAGAAACUCCUGAGAGUAUGAAAGGUGCAAAGAAGAAGACCACCUCAAAGGAUUGUACUUCUCCUUGCUUUGUGAUAUGUCAAGAUUGAUUUUCAGGAUGGAGAAGAGGCUUCUGAAAGUGUGGAAGGUGCAAAGAAGAAGAAAACCUCAAACAUUAGGUUGGUCAUGGCAAGGAUGUACAUAUUGUAACUAUAAAAUCUGUUUCCCGUAUUCCAAGAAAAAGACCCCAAAAUAACAUCUUGUGCUUUUGUUAUGUUCCUAUAACUUUAGAAACCAGAAACACUAGCAAUGUGUUUCUUCAUAGCUCUAUCUUUAUGGUUAUGAUUUCUUC